GACGAACGCUGGCGGCGUGCCUAACACAUGCAAGUCGAACGGGGAGUUACUUGUAACUCCUAGUGGCGAACGGGUGAGUAACGCGUAGACAACCUGCCUCUAAAUUGGGGACAACACCGCGAAAGUGGUGCUAAUACCGAAUGUGGUAUCUUGGUCGCAUGACUGAGAUAAGAAAGGUGGCCUCUAUUUAUAAGCUACCGAUUAGAGAUGGGUCUGCGUCUGAUUAGCUAGUUGGUGAGGUAAUGGCUCACCAAGGCGACGAUCAGUAGCCGGUCUGAGAGGAUGAACGGCCACACUGGGACUGAGACACGGCCCAGACUCCUACGGGAGGUAGCAGUGGGGAAUCUUCCGCAAUGGACGAAAGUCUGACGGAGCAACGCCGCGUGAGUGAAGAAGGUCUUCGGAUUGUAAAGCUCUGUCGUUUGGGACGAACGUAUCUUGUGUGAAUAAUGCAAGGUAAUGACGGUACCAAAGGAGGAAGCCACGGCUAACUACGUGCCAGCAGCCGCCGUAACAC
rnacentral:rRNA from 1 species